GGGGGAGGGGAGGAGUGCCCAAAGCCGCGGUCGGGAAGAACCUGCAAUACGCCGAUGGGGGAGCGGCUCCUAGGACGGAGCCCUGGGGCCUACGGGAGUGCCGGAGAGAGUAAGGGGCAGAAGCAGCACCGGGCGAGACGGGGUCCGGAGAAGAGUCCCAGGGGUCCCCGGCGAGCUACGCGGACACCCUCAGUCACCUAUGAGCAGCACAGCAGGCAGCCGGAAGCAGCGCGCUAGGAACCGGAAGUGUGGCUCAGGUUCCCCUCUUCCCCCAGCCGCACACCAUGGAGAAGAGGCACGCAAAGCUAGAGAGGAGCGCCGCGCUUGGAGCGCCCCCUCCCGAGGACAUGAGGACGAGGAAGAGGGAGUAAAGGGAAGCAGGUCUGCGACAGCGCUUGCCAGGGACAGCAUGGGGCGUCCCAGCAGCCCCGAACAGUGGAGCGACCUUCUUUGUCUUUGCAUCCCCAGCAGCUAGCACUGUGUUGGGCAAUAGGAUGGUGCUCUUAAGUGAACUGUGGGCUGCAAAUCACCGCCCUGGGCUGGGCAGUAAGGGGAGGAAGUUGAGAGGGUCCCUUCCCAUUGGACAUUGUCCCCCAGUUAGCAUUUCUGAGGCCUGUGACACUAAUCAGGGGUAGAAGCAGAAGGGGGUCAAACCCCUCUUUUAAAUGGGGGCAAGAGGAAAGGGAUUAAACAGAGUCGUGGCAUUUGAGAUGAGGGCUUUGUUUGAUCCAGUAUUCUUCCAUUCCACUAGCGUUUAUAAGUUCUUUUGUCUGGUGUCCAGUCCUAGUUAAAUCACCUCAAAAACAAAGGGAGAUGGACCCAGAGGUUAUUGCAGAACUGCAGCAAGGGCAGGCUUUUUGUGGAUUUUGACUAAGCCCUCGGGGUGGACUUAUGUGGGAGUAUAUCUAUCCGGUGCAGUUGGCUAACUAGGGUGAAAUUGGUCUUAAAUCCCUCAAGACAGCAAGAAGAAAAAAAAUUGGGUUUCUGAUAGUGAUAUGUAACUUCCCACGAUCCCACCCUUAAUAGGUAAUGAUUACCCCAUAAGUUUGAGCAGUGAUUCCCCAGGGCAAUAGGAAACAAGAGAUUCUUCUCCAUGCCCUACAAUACCCUCUUCUACAAUGGGAAAACAGAAAGCAUGAACUAAAAAACAGAGAUCUCCCUUUCUGCCCAAAGUCUUCUCAGCAAUAUGCUGCAGACUACAAUCCUACAGCAUGCAUCACACAGGAGGGCUAGGCUAACUCAUUGAGAAAUGAAGUCUAGUCUUCCCCAUAGUUUUGUAUGGGAGGAAGAGAGAAGAAUGCAGAGGUGGCGUGGAGAAUUUCCAGUGUUCCUCUUUAAAAACUCUUUAAUACCUGCCUUACUUGCCAUAUCAACUUCUGAAGGAAAAAAAAUGUUUCCAAACCCCAAUAUGGAUGUGGAGUAUUAUGCAGGAAAAAGAAAAUCCACCAUCUUACAAACUAUAACAACACCAGUUUCCUGAACUUUCCCCCAAACUCUAAGACAAUGAGACUGCUUCUUGCUGCUGUCCCACCAGAUGUAUUUAUUACAUGAUUAAAGUUCAAAUAAAAAAAUAAAAACCAA